rnacentral:rRNA from 1 species
GAUGAACGCUGGCGGCGUGCCUAAUACAUGCAAGUCGAGCGAACGGACGAGAAGCUUGCUUCUCUGAUGUUAGCGUCGGACGGGUGAGUAACACGUGUAUAACCUACCUAUUAUACUUGGAUAACUUCGGGAAACCGUAUCUAAUACCGGAUAAUAUUUUUUACCUCAUGGUUCAAAAGUGAUAGACGGUCUUUCUGUCUCUUAUAGAUGUAUCCGCGCUGCAUUAGCUAGUUGGUAAGGUAACGGCUUACCAAGGCAACGAUGCAUAGCAGACCUGAGAGGGUGAAAGGACAAAAGGGAACGGAGAAACGGUCAAGACGACUACGGGAGGAAGCAGUAGGGAAUGUUCCGAAAUGGGCGAAAGAAUGACGGAGCAAAGAAGAGUGAGAGAUGAAGGUCUUCGGAUCGUAAAACACUGUUAUUAGGGAAGAAAAUAUGUGUAAGUAAAUGUGCACAUAGUGACGGUAACUAAUCAGAAAGCAACGGCUAACUACGUG